rnacentral:rRNA from 1 species
AUGGAAUCCGACGGCGAGCAUUCGCCGCCGCACGCCUGCGGCGCUGGCCACCGGGCGUCGCACUCUCUCCCGACCUCGGCGGGCGGCAGCGUCUGCGUUUCCUGCGCCGCGGCCCUCCUCUCCUCCGCCUCCGCGCCGUCCCACCACGUCUCCCACGUGCUCGCCAGCCUCUCCCUCGCCCUAGCUGACCCGGCCUUCCUCGCGCCUCUCCGCGCCGCUCACCCGCGCCUCCUUGCGGUGCCACUAGUCGAGGCCCUCGCGGGCGCGGCCGCCCGCCGAGACGCCGCACUCGCCACCCAGGCAUCCGACCUCGCCUCCGACCUCGCGUCCGCCGUGGGCCCCCCUGCCGCCUCCGAGCUCGUCGCGCGCCUCGCCCACGUCCUCUCCUCGGGUUCCCUCGUCAAGCACUUCCACAUGCUCCACUGUUUGGGAUUUUUGUUAAAUUCCAUCAAAGGUGCUGCAGCAUACAUUGGAGAUGCAGUUUCUCUUUUCUUAAAUCUUGUUAACAAUCUGCGACUACCAAGUGAUGAAAUUCGUGGAGAGAUACUGUUCGUGCUGUACAAACUCUCCUUGUUAAACGCUACCCCGUGGGACAAUAUAUGUGAUAAUGACAAUGUGGAUCUUUCAGCAGUCGGAAAAAGUUUGCUUCAACUCUCUCUUGAAGUUCUACUUAAAACUCAAAAUGAUGCUGUUCGCCUGAACUGUAUUGCAUUCCUCCUUGCGCUGGCAAAGAAGGAGGCCUUUGAUAUUUUGCUGAUUGGCGACCUGAGCUUAAUCAAGUCUGUAGAGGAAGAAGAGUCCACGCAGACAGAUGAUGUGCCCCCGAAUGCCUCUAUCAUAGUUCUAUUUGCUGAUGCUGUCAAAGGAUCUCUGCUCUCUACGAAUCUAGAAGUGCAAACUGGGACAUUGGAUUUAAUCUUCCAUUUCCUGUCAUCUGAUGCAAAUAUUUGUGCUGUACUUCAAACUUUGAUAGAUGAAAAUGUUGCUGAUUAUGUAUUCGAGGUUCUGAGGUUAUCAGGAAAUAAUGAUCCACUGGUAAUUUCCUCUAUUCAAGUACUAUCACUUUUAGCGACUUCAGAGGAGAUGUUCAAAGAAAAGCUUGCCAUUGGAUUUUCUACUCUGCUCCCUGUUCUUCAUUAUGUUACUGAGAUUCCAUUUCAUCCAGUCCAGUCUCAGGUUUUACGACUUGUUUGGACUUGUAUUGCUAAUUGUUCUGGUAUUCUGUCGUUGUCCCAAGAAGAACAGAUAGCAUGUACUUUGACUCUAAUUUUGAGAAGAAAUGACAGUGGUGAACUUGGAAUGUGUUCUGAAACCUUUGCUCUUGUUUGCUCAAUAUUAAUAGAGAUUAUGAGGUCACCAUCUGCUCAUGAUAUUCAGAAACUACCUUUAUUAAUUGAAGAAGCAUCAAAACAUGCUAUCUCUUCGACAUUACCUCAUGCGUAUGACUCUGCAUUUCUCGUACCACAUUCCCUUUGUCUUCUUAAAGAAGCACUUAUAUUCUGCCUUGAAGGGAAUACAGAUAAGAUUUCUGUCAAGAAGGAUCUUGAAGAUAGCGUCAUUGAAAUUUGUGGAACUUAUUUACUGCAUUGGCUAGAAAGUGCUGUUGUUGAUGGUAAUGAUGACGAAACAUUGGGAGAAAUCCUUCAGAUUUUCCACAUUAUUCUAUCAAGCACAUGUCACAAUAAGCAACUCAAGUUUGCUGAGAUGCUGGCAUCAUCCUCAUGGUUUAGCUUGUCAUUUGGAUUCAUGGGCUUAUUUCCUACCGAUCAUGUCAAAUCAGUAGUAUAUUUGAUCACUAGUUCAAUUGUCGACAAAAUUUUGGGCUGUAAAUAUGGGGAAACAAUUAGAGAUGCAUACGUCUAUCUGCCAUCAGACCCUACAGAACUUGCGUAUUUACUUGGGCAAUGUAGCUCCGAAGAUUUCAACUUGGCAUCAUGUCAAUGUGCUAUUCUAGUUAUACUUUAUGCCUGUUCAUUCUACAAUGAAAGGCUGGUUGCUGACAGCCAACUUCUGUCUUCAGUUGAGCAAUACAUCCUUCUAAAUGGUGCGAAGUUUCCCUAUGAAAUUGCUGGUUCUGUGAUGCUUACUCUGCUGGUCCAUCUUUAUGCCUUCGUCAGAGGCAUUUCAUUUGGCUGCACCAUUCAACAUAGUCCAGAAGCUGAGAGAACUCUGUUCCAUGUAAUGGCAUGUAAGGAGUGGGACUUGCUUUUUAUCCGAGUCCACCCAAUAGCACUAAAAUGGCUCUUCCAGAAGGUAGAACUUCUAGAACCACUAUCUUUCCAGAUGCUAAAUUUCUGCAGAACUUUCUGUGAAGACAGAACUGUUGUGCUUUUAAACAGCAGUCAGUUGGUGGACAUAAAGAUGGUUGCAGAACUGGUAUUUUCAGGAGAGACUAGUCUCUCUUCUUUGCUUGUAUCCUUACUGAAUCAAAUUAUAAAGGAUGGUACAGAAGAUGAGGUCUUCUCGGUGGUUAAUGUGAUUGCUGAAAUCCUAGUGAUCUCUCCUUGUUCUUCUAGUCAUUUUACAUCAUCUGGUGUUAUAGAUGCAGUUGGUAGUAUAUAUUGCUCCCCAUAUUCUUCAAGGAUUAAAACAGUGUGUUCCCUUUUGAUCUUUAAUAUUUUAUACUCGGCAAGUGCGUUGACAGUCUACUGGGAAGAUGAAUGGCUUGCUCUUACCAUGAAGUUAUUGGAGUAUUUCAAUUCGAGUCUUGAUUAUACAUCAAGUGACCAAGAACAGAAGAUAUUAAUUGGGAUAUUUUGCCUUAUUUUGCAUCAUUCAGCAAGCAAGGUGCUCAUUGAGCCUGCGAAGGCCAUAAUCUUGAACAAACCACUGGUUUCUUUGACAGAUGGUAUAAUACAGGAAGCUUGUGCAAAGGGCCCAUCUUUACUUCAAUACAAUCAGGAAACAGACUUUGGGGGAUUCAUGAUUUUGAUUCUUCAAUUAAUGUUUUUCUCUCUAAGAAGUUUGCAUGCCAUCCUAGAUCCAAGUAUUGACUGGCAGGAAUUCCUCCAGCAUUCAGAUAACACCCAGUUUUUCUCUGUUGUUGGCAUCCCGUGCCAUGAUUUGUGCCGUCUGAUGCACUUCGGUCCAUAUCCUGUUAAGCUUAUUGCUUCACAAUGCCUGUUGGAAUUGCUUACCAGAAUUUCAGAUCAGAGGAGCUAUCUUAAUGCUGAAUUAAGAUGCUCUGCGCAAUACAUGAAGUCCAUUAUUGCUGUGAUAGAGGGUUUAGUCUUGAGUCAAGACAGUAGAGUUGCUGAAAAUUGCGGGUCCUGUCUCUCAAUGAUUUUAGGUUGGGAGAAAUUCGGAAGCCAGGAGAAUAUGGUGGGCAGAGAAUCAAAAUGGUCCAGGCUAAUAAUGGAGGAAUUUGCAGUUGCCUUGACUGCUCCUGGUUUGACGUCAAAAUCAUUCAGUAAUCAGCAGAAGAUUGCAUCAAAUAUAGCUGUUUCAUUGCUCAAACUAAGCCAAGUUCCAGAAUGGCUGACAUCAUUGUUUGAUAGUUCUUUGAUAUCUGGUGUAGUUGGUAAUCUUUCUGCUAGGAAUGUCACUGCAGAUAUUGUUAAGCUAUUCAGUGAGCUUAUGACUAAGAAAUAUCUCACUCAAGAGCACAUUGUCUCCCUGCAUAACUUAUUCCAGGUCUGCAGAAGACAGGUCUAUGAGGGGAGUUGUUCUAAGUCGGAGUUGUCGGAGCAAAAGGCAGAAGAAACGGUGGCAAGGAGCCCCGACGAAGUGUGUGCUUUGCUCUUUGGCAUCGUGCUGAAUCAGCGUACAGCCUCGUGCACGUUGCAGAUGGAGCAGCAGAAUCUUCUGCGUGAGAUCGAUCUGUUCUUCCAGGAGUCGAGCCAAGGAGAGUAG